GGUGAGUUGAUGGGCAGCCAUUGCUGUGAGCAGCCGAGGUGUGGUCUCUGAAGGAGGGGGGCGGGGGCAUGAGGACUCAGAACUGUCCCCUCCAGGAGAAUGAAGCCAAAGUGUUUAUCCUUCAGCUCCCUGGCUGUUCCUGCACACUAGCCACUUACAUUGCAGCUACCUGUGCACUGAUAAAGGAACUGAUGUCUGUCCGGUCUGCACACAUCUCUCCAUUGUGAAGGGCAUUCAAGUUUGCCCUCUCUCACCCUGGUCCUCAGAAGCUAAUGGGUCACUUUCCCAAAUUGAAGCUCCAGAGACCAGGAACAGAGGACUGGUAUAGUUGAUGAGUCUACACAACAGGAGGCUGGCCCCACCUAGUGCAAGGAUUUGGGAAUUGUGACAUCACCCUGGAGGCAAUGCUAGCUCCCCCAUGAUCCACGGCCACAUUGUUAGGGCUAUGGAAACCUGACGGUUUGAGGGCAGACCACCAAGAGAAUUGUUACAUCACAUCCCCAGCUAGACCAGGCUUAGUUUGCUUAGUAAGAAAGGCAAUAUUUUUGUUGAAUUUCACAUUUUCUACCAAGUAACGAAUUAACCUUUUUGAAAUCGCAGAGGAGAUCACAGCAGGAAAUGAAGCCAUAUCCUGUACACGCUGGCUACCACAUAUGAACCAUCAGAGAGAUGGAGGGCAAUGUCUGGAAGAAGGACGGGAAGAGGGAAUAUAAGAACAUUCAGUAUUAAUGGAUUCCAAACUCCGUGUGAUAACCAGCCGGUCCUGGACCAGUUUAUCAUCGCAGUGUGGACUGAUUCUCUUUUGCAGGAAGUUAGUUUUGACUUCACCAGCUGGAUUGGAGGGCACCUGUGGCAUACCUUGUCCUAUUGCUGUGGGGGACUUCGUCCAGCUUUUAGACAUGCAAGACUAAAUGUGAAUACCAUCUAUACAAACUGAUUUUGCAACAUUGCUAAACUAGCAGACUGGAGAGAUGCUCACAAUUCUCAGAUGAUAUGAGUGUUUCUCUGCAUGGGCAUCAGAGCUGCCACUGCUUGACAUUCCAAGAACUUCCCAGCUACAGGUUCAUCACCUUCUCCUCCCAGGAAAGACAUGUGAGAUUCUGCACAGAGACAGGAAUGUCGUGCCAAAGAGCCUGAAGUCAUGCCAGUGGUGGAGUGCUGAUUGGAACAGACUGGGUUUGGAUGACAUCUCUACUCAUCUGUAAUGGAAGCUGUGUCAAAGCUGGGGGAUGCCAGCUGCCAUAUUGUGAAGACCCUCAAGCAUCCCUGUGGAGAGGUCCCCAUGGCACAGAAAUGGACUCUCAGCCCAAAAGCCAACAAAGAACCAAGGCCUCAAGCCAGCAGCCAUGGGAAUGGGAAUGUGCCAUCUUGGAAGCCAAUCCUGCAGCCCCAGUCAAGCCUUCAGAUGACAGUAGCCCCAGCCAAUAUCUUCACUGGAUCUUACUGAGAGACUAUGUGCCAGCAUGACCCUACUAAACAACUCUCAAAUUUCUGACCCUCAGAAAUUGUGUGAGAUAAUAAUUGUUUUUUGUUUUAAUAUGCUAAGCUUUAGGUUUGUUUGUUACUCCAAAUUAGACAACUAAUUCAGAAUGCAAUAUAUACACUCAGCCAGGUCAACUCCUCUGCUUCUUGAUGCCUGGGGAGAGUGGAGAGAGUGAUGGAUCCCCAUUAUUAUUGCACCCAGGGUACACUGGUCUGGGUUUAGAAUGUCUUGUGCUUUUUCAACCUUCUGUUCCCACAUUUCUCAGUAGUAUGUAUAUUAAACUCUCUUCAGUAACCCA
rnacentral:lncRNA from 1 species